UACGGAGGGGGCAAGCGUUAUCCGGAUUCACUGGGUUUAAAGGGUGCGUAGGUGGGCAGUUAAGUCAGUGGUGAAAUCUCCGGGCUCAACCCGGAAACUGCCAUUGAUACUAUCUGUCUUGAAUAUCGUGGAGGUAAGCGGAAUAUGUCAUGUAGCGGUGAAAUGCUUAGAUAUGACAUAGAACACCAAUUGCGAAGGCAGCUUACUACCCGAAUAUUGACACUGAGGCACGAAAGCGUGGGGAGCAAACAGG
rnacentral:rRNA from 1 species